GACGAACGCUGGCGGCGUGCUUAACACAUGCAAGUCGAACGGAAAGGCCCUUCGGGGUACUCGAGUGGCGAACGGGUGAGUAACACGUGGGUGAUCUGCCCUGCACUUUGGGAUAAGCCUGGGAAACUGGGUCUAAUACCGAAUAUGACCGCGCUCUUCAUGGGGUGUGGUGGAAAGCUUUUGCGGUGUGGGAUGGGCCCGCGGCCUAUCAGCUUGUUGGUGGGGUAAUGGCCUACCAAGGCGACGACGGGUAGCCGGCCUGAGAGGGUGACCGGCCACACUGGGACUGAGAUACGGCGCAGACUCCUACGGGAGGCAGCAGUGGGGAAUAUUGCACAAUGGGCGCAAGCCUGAUGCAGCGACGCCGCGUGAGGGAUGACGGCCUUCGGGUUGUAAACCUCUUUCAAUAGGGACGAAGCGCAAGUGACGGUACCUAUAGAAGAAGGACCGGCCAACUACGUGCCAGCAGCCGCAGUAACAC
rnacentral:rRNA from 1 species